GACGAACGCUGGCGGCGUGCUUAACACAUGCAAGUCGUACGGUAAGGCCCUUUCGGGGGUACACGAGUGGCGAACGGGUGAGUAACACGGGAGUAACCUGCCCACAACUUUGGGAUAACGCUAGGAAACUGGUGCUAAUACUGGAUAUGUGCUCCUGCUGCAUGGGGGGGGUUGGAAAGCUCCUGCGGCUGUGGAUGGACUCGCGGUCUAUCAGCUUGUUGGUGGGGUAGUGGCCUACCAAGGCGGCGACGGGUAGCCGGCCUGAGAGGGUGACCGGCCACCUUGGGACUGAGAUACGGCCCAGACUCCUACGGGAGGCAGCAGUGGGGAAUAUUGCACAAUGGGCGCAAGCCUGAUGCAGAAACGCCGCGUGCGGGAUGACGGCCUUCGGGUUGUAAACCGCUUUCAGCAGGGACGAAGCUUUUUGUGACGGUACCUGCAGAAGAAGCACCGGCUAACUACGUG
rnacentral:rRNA from 1 species